rnacentral:rRNA from 1 species
GAUGCAUGACGGGUGCUAUACAUGCAGUCGAGCGAAUCGAUGGGAGCUUGCUCCCUGAGAUUAGCGGCGGACGGGUGAGUAACACGUGGGCAACCUGCCUAUAAGACUGGGAUAACUUCGGGAAACCGGAGCUAAUACCGGAUACGUUCUUUUCUCGCAUGAGAGAAGAUGGAAAGACGGUUUACGCUGUCACUUAUAGAUGGGCCCGCGGCGCAUUAGCUAGUUGGUGAGGUAAUGGCUCACCAAGGCGACGAUGCGUAGCCGACCUGAGAGGGUGAUCGGCCACACUGGGACUGAGACACGGCCCAGACUCCUACGGGAGGCAGCAGUAGGGAAUCUUCCGCAAUGGACGAAAGUCUGACGGAGCAACGCCGCGUGAACGAAGAAGGCCUUCGGGUCGUAAAGUUCUGUUGUUAGGGAAGAACAAGUACCAGAGUAACUGCUGGUACCUUGACGGUACCUAACCAGAAAGCCACGGCUAACUACGUGCCAGCAGCCGCGGUAAUACGUAGGUGGCAAGCGUUGUCCGGAAUUAUUGGGCGUAAAGCGCGCGCAGGUGGUUCCUUAAGUCUGAUGUGAAAGCCCACGGCUCAACCGUGGAGGGUCAUUGGAAACUGGGGAACUUGAGUGCAGAAGAGGAAAGUGGAAUUCCAAGUGUAGCGGUGAAAUGCGUAGAGAUUUGGAGGAACACCAGUGGCGAAGGCGACUUUCUGGUCUGUAACUGACACUGAGGCGCGAAAGCGUGGGAGCAAACAGGAUUAGAUACCCUGGUAGUCCACGCCGUAAACGAUGAGUGCUAAGUGUUAGAGGGUUUCCGCCCUUUAGUGCUGCAGCUAACGCAUUAAGCACUCCGCCUGGGGAGUACGGCCGCAAGGCUGAAACUCAAAGGAAUUGACGGGGGCCCGCACAAGCGGUGGAGCAUGUGGUUUAAUUCGAAGCAACGCGAAGAACCUUACCAGUCUUGACAUCCUCUGACAACGCUAGAGAUAGGGCUUUCCCCUUCGGGGGACAGAGUGAACAGUGGGUGCAUGGUUGUCGUCAGCUCGUGUCGUGAAGAU